ensembl:lncRNA
CCAUAGCCGCCCCAUAACUGCCCCAUAACCGCCCCAUAGAGACACAUAGAGACACAUAGAGAGCCAUAACCGCCAUAUAACUGCCCCAUAGCCGCCCCAUAACAGCCCCAUAACCGCCCCUUAACUGCCCCUUAACUGCCCCAUAGGGGCACAUAGAGAGCCAUAGGGACACAUAGAGACACAUAGAGACACAUAGAGACACAUAGCGCCCCAUAGCGCCCCAUAACCGCCCCAGAACUGCCCCAUAACCGCCCCAUAACCACCCCAUAACUGCCCCUUAACUGCCCCAUAGAGACACAUAGAGACACAUAGGGACACAUAGAGACACAUAGAGACACAGAGAGCCAUAACUGCCCCAUAACCACCCCAUAACUGCCCCAUAACUGCCCCAUAGGGGCACAUAGAGAGCCAUAGAGACACAUAGAGACACAUAGAGAGCCAUAGAGAGCCAUAACUGCCCCACAGCUGCCCCAUAACCGCCCCAUAACCACCCCAUAACUGCCCCUUAACUGCCCCAUAGAGACACAUAGAGACACAUAGGGACACAUAGAGACACAGAGAGCCAUAGCGCCCCAUAACUGCUCCAUAACCGCCCCAUAGAGACACACAGAGAGCCAUAGGGACACAUAGAGACACAUAGAGAGCCAUAGGGACACAUAGUGCCCCAUAACUGCCCCAUAACUGCCCCAUAGAGACACAGAGAGCCAUAGAGAGCCAUAGAGACACGUAGAGACACAUAGAGACCCAUAACCGCCCCAUAACUGCCCCAUAGAGACACAUAGAGAUCCAUAGAGUCCCAUAGUGCCUCAUAGAGCCCCAUAGCGCCCCAUAACUGACCCACAGUGCCCCAUAGCGCCCCAUAACCCCCCCAUACCUCCCCAUACCCCCCCAUAACCCCACACCAUCCCAUAACCCCCCAUCACCCCAUAAACCCAUAACCUCCAGCACCCCACAACCCCAUAUCACCCCAUAACCCCAUACCUCCCACCACCCCAUAGCCCC